UUUUUUUUUAAUCAGAUAGGCAUGAAGACUAAUAAACAUCCAAUACUUCAAUUUCUUUGAAAAAAUAUAUAUAUAUAAAAAAUGCCUACCUACCUACCUACUGACCCAACCUUGAGUAGGGUUUGGGCAAACCAAAAUAUGUUUAAUUAUGGCCUUAGGGAAAUAUAAGUUAAAAUAUAAAGGAAUAAGUACUAAAACAUUAAAAAAAAAAUGAAAAAUAUAUUAUUCUUAAGUAUUAAUGUAAAAGUGCUUGUAUUGCUUCUCUGAUCAUGUAAACAGUUAACCUAUCAAUAAUCAAUAUCAUUACAAGGAGC
rnacentral:lncRNA from 1 species